AAUGAACGCUGGCGGCAUGCCUAACACAUGCAAGUCGAACGAAGCCUUCGGGCUUAGUGGCGCACGGGUGCGCAACGCGUGGGAAAAUGCCCUUGGGUUCGGAAUAACUCUCCGAAAGGAGUGCUAAUACCGGAUGAUGUCGAACGACCAAAGAUUUAUCGCCAAGGGAUGAGCCCGCGUAGGAUUAGCUAGUUGGUGAGGUAAAAGCUCACCAAGGCGACGAUCCUUAGCUGGUCUGAGAGGAUGAUCAGCCACACUGGGACUGAGGCACGGCCCAGACUCCUAUGGGAGGCAGCAGUGGGGAAUAUUGGACAAUGGGCGAAAGCCUGAUCCAGCAAUGCCGCGUGAGUGAUGAAGGCCUUAGGGUUGUAAAGCUCUUUUACCCGGGGUGAUAAUGACAGUACCGGGAGAAUAAGCCCCGGCUAACUCCGUGCCAGCCGCCGCGAUAA
rnacentral:rRNA from 1 species